GGGCUCGUGGCUCUAUGGUUAGAGCGUUGGACUUCUAAUCAACAGGUCGCGGUUCGAGCCUU
rnacentral:tRNA from 1 species